rnacentral:rRNA from 1 species
CCUACGGGAGGCAGCAGUGAGGAAUAUUGGUCAAUGGGCGAGAGCCUGAACCAGCCAAGUCGCGUGAGGGAGUACUGCCCUAUGGGUUGUAAACCUCUUUUGUCGGGGAGCAAAAGCCGGACGUGUCCGGCUGUGAGAGUACCCGAAGAAAAAGCAUCGGCUAACUCCGUGCCAGCAGCCGCGGUAAUACGGAGGAUGCGAGCGUUAUCCGGAUUUAUUGGGUUAUAAGGGUGCGCAGGCGGAUUUUUAAGUCAGCGGUAAAAUCGUGGGGCUCAACCCCAUCCAGCCGUUGAAACUGGGGAUCUAGAGUGUGCGAGAGGUAUGCGGAAUGCGUGGUGUAGCGGUGAAAUGCAUAGAUAUCACGCAGAACCCCGAUUGCGAAGGCAGCAUACCGGUGCACAACUGACGCUCAGGCACGAAAGCGUGGGUAUCGAACAGGAUUAGAUACCCUUGUAGUC